GAUGAACGCUGGCGGCGUGCCUAAUACAUGCAAGUCGAGCGAACAGACGAGGAGCUUGCUCCUCUUACGUUAGCGGCGGACGGGUGAGUAACACGUGGAUAACCUACCUAUAAGACUGGGAUAACUUCGGGAAACCGGAGCUAAUACCGGAUAAUAUAUUGAACCGCAUGGUUCAAUAGUGAAAUGCGGUUUUUCUGUCACUUAUAGAUGGAUCCGCGCCGCAUUAGCUAGUUGUUAAGGUAACGGCUUACCAAGGCAACGAUGCGUAGCCGACCUGAGAGGGUGAUCGGACAAACUGGAACUGAGACACGGUACAGACGCCUACGGGAGGCAGCAGUAGGGAAUAUGCCGCAAAGGGCGAAAGCAUGACGGAGCAACGCCGCGUGAGUGAUGAAGGUCUUCGGAUCGUAAAACUCUGUUAUUAGGGAAGAAAAAAUGUGUAAGUAAAUAUGCACGUAUUGACGGUACCGAAUCAGAAAGCCACGGCUAACUACGUG
rnacentral:rRNA from 1 species